rnacentral:ncRNA from 2 species
AAUUAGAGCGGCGAUGAUGUCCGCCGCCCCGGAAAGCCGGGGGAACCGUCCGCGUGGACUGAUGACCUCUACCCUGAU